GGGCUUAUAGCUCAGUUGGUUAGAGCGUACGCCUGAUAAGCGUAAGGUGGGUAGUUCGAGUCUACCUUGGCCCA
rnacentral:tRNA from 1 species